GGGAAGCGAGCUGAUCCCCUUCGGGGGUGACGCUCGUGGAACGAGCGGCGGACGGGUGAGUAACACGUGGGUAACCUGCCUGUAAGAUCGGAAUAACUCCGGGAAACCGGAGCUAAUGCCGGGUAACAUGUUCUUCCGCAUGGAGGAACAUUAAAAGAUGGCUUCUUGCUAUCACUUACAGAUGGACCCGCGGCGCAUUAGCUAGUUGGUGAGGUAACGGCUCACCAAGGCGACGAUGCGUAGCCGACCUGAGAGGGUGAUCGGCCACACUGGGACUGAGACACGGCCCAGACUCCUACGGGAGGCAGCAGUAGGGAAUCUUCC
rnacentral:rRNA from 1 species